rnacentral:rRNA from 1 species
CCUUCGGGGGGCAGCAGUGAGGAAUAUUGGUCAAUGGGCGCUAGCCUGAACCAGCCAAGUCGCGUGAAGGAUGACUGCCCUAUGGGUUGUAAACUUCUUUUAUAUGGGAAUAAAGUGCAGUAUGUAUACUGCUUUGCAUGUACCUUAUGAAUAAGGAUCGGCUAACUCCGUGCCAGCAGCCGCGGUAAUACGGAGGGUUCGAGCGUUAAUCGGAAUUACUGGGCGUAAAGGGCUCGUAGGCGGUAUGUCAAGUCAAGGGUGAAAUCCCCGGGCUCAACGUGGGAACUGCCUUUGAAACUGGCAUACUUGAGUGUGUGAGAGGAAAGUGGAAUUCCAGGUGUAGCGGUGAAAUGCGUAGAUAUCUGGAAGAACAUCAGUGGCGAAGGCGACUAUCUGGCACAUAACUGACGCUGAGGAGCGAAAGCGUGGGUAGCAAACAGGAUUAGAUACCCGGGUAGUC